AUGGUGCUCCUUAAUUGAGGGUGCUUGGCUAUACUGAGGGCUGUUAACUACUUAAGUGGUUAGGGACUACCGCAAUCCUAAGCCCUUAGUUUUGCU
rnacentral:sRNA from 12 species